UUAACGAAAACACAACAACAUUAACGAAAACACAACAACAUUAAUGAAAACACAACAACAUUAACGAAAACACAACGGAAGAGGUAUGUCCCAGUGGGAGACCUAAGAAAUCGCUGAUUGGACUACAGCUCGUUUUACUUUUGAACCGGAAGUUACUCUGGUGUGCUUCCCGUCACCAAACUUCUGCAGCAAUUGUGGCAAGAGGUUUCAACUUCAGGAAAUAUUUAUGGAAGAUACUCCACAAUGUUCAACACAACAGGCUGUUCCAUCCUGCCCUGCACCAGCCCUCAGCACCUUCCUUGAAUUCAGAAAAAAGAAAAAUGAGGAGCAACAAAAGUAUUCUCUUGGGAAAAAGGGGUUAAAGCAAAAGGAAAAAAAGAAAGUUC